rnacentral:rRNA from 1 species
AAAUUGAAGAGUUUGAUCAUGGCUCAGAUUGAACGCUGGCGGCAGGCCUAACACAUGCAAGUCGAGCGGUAGCACAGAGAGCUUGCUCUCGGGUGACGAGCGGCGGACGGGUGAGUAAUGUCUGGGAAACUGCCUGAUGGAGGGGGAUAACUACUGGAAACGGUAGCUAAUACCGCAUAACGUCGCAAGACCAAAGUGGGGGACCUUCGGGCCUCAUGCCAUCAGAUGUGCCCAGAUGGGAUUAGCUAGUAGGUGGGGUAAUGGCUCACCUAGGCGACGAUCCCUAGCUGGUCUGAGAGGAUGACCAGCCACACUGGAACUGAGACACGGUCCAGACUCCUACGGGAGGCAGCAGUGGGGAAUAUUGCACAAUGGGCGCAAGCCUGAUGCAGCCAUGCCGCGUGUGUGAAGAAGGCCUUCGGGUUGUAAAGCACUUUCAGCGGGGAGGAAGGCGUUAAGGUUAAUAACCUUGGCGAUUGACGUUACCCGCAGAAGAAGCACCGGCUAACUCCGUGCCAGCAGCCGCGGUAAUACGGAGGGUGCAAGCGUUAAUCGGAAUUACUGGGCGUAAAGCGCACGCAGGCGGUCUGUCAAGUCGGAUGUGAAAUCCCCGGGCUCAACCUGGGAACUGCAUUCGAAACUGGCAGGCUAGAGUCUUGUAGAGGGGGGUAGAAUUCCAGGUGUAGCGGUGAAAUGCGUAGAGAUCUGGAGGAAUACCGGUGGCGAAGGCGGCCCCCUGGACAAAGACUGACGCUCAGGUGCGAAAGCGUGGGGAGCAAACAGGAUUAGAUACCCUGGUAGUCCACGCCGUAAACGAUGUCGAUUUGGAGGUUGUGCCCUUGAGGCGUGGCUUCCGGAGCUAACGCGUUAAAUCGACCGCCUGGGGAGUACGGCCGCAAGGUUAAAACUCAAAUGAAUUGACGGGGGCCCGCACAAGCGGUGGAGCAUGUGGUUUAAUUCGAUGCAACGCGAAGAACCUUACCUGGUCUUGACAUCCACAGAACUUAGCAGAGAUGCUUUGGUGCCUUCGGGAACUGUGAGACAGGUGCUGCAUGGCUGUCGUCAGCUCGUGUUGUGAAAUGUUGGGUUAAGUCCCGCAACGAGCGCAACCCUUAUCCUUUGUUGCCAGCGGUCCGGCCGGGAACUCAAAGGAGACUGCCAGUGAUAAACUGGAGGAAGGUGGGGAUGACGUCAAGUCAUCAUGGCCCUUACGACCAGGGCUACACACGUGCUACAAUGGCAUAUACAAAGAGAAGCGACCUCGCGAGAGCAAGCGGACCUCAUAAAGUAUGUCGUAGUCCGGAUUGGAGUCUGCAACUCGACUCCAUGAAGUCGGAAUCGCUAGUAAUCGUAGAUCAGAAUGCUACGGUGAAUACGUUCCCGGGCCUUGUACACACCGCCCGUCACACCAUGGGAGUGGGUUGCAAAAGAAGUAGGUAGCUUAACCUUCGGGAGGGCGCUUACCACUUUGUGAUUCAUGACUGGGGUGAAGUCGUAACAAGGUAACCGUAGGGGAACCUGCGGUUGGAUCACCUCCUUA